UGCAUCUUCUGGAGACUGGGGACGGGUGAGUAACGCGUAGAUAACCUGCCUAUACCAGGGGGAUAACAUCUCGAAAGGGAUGCUAAUACCGCAUAAUGCAGCGGGGCCGCAUGGCCACAGUUGUUAAGGGGUUUCGGCCCGGGUAUAGAGGGGUCUGCGUGCUAUUAGUUAGUUGGUGAGGUAACGGCUCACCAAGGCGAUGAUAGCUAGGGGGUCUGAGAGGAUGAUCCCCCACACUGGGACUGAGACACGGCCCAGACUCCUACGGGAGGCAGCAGUGAGGAAUCUUGCGCAAUGGGCGAAAGCCUGACGCAGCCACGCCGCGUGCCGGAAGACGGCCCUAUGGGUUGUAAACGGCUUUUGAAUGAGAAGAACGUCCGGGGUUCGCCCUGGAGUGACGGUAUCAUUCGAAUAAGCACCGGCUAACUCCGUGCCAGCAGCCGCGGUAAUACGGAGGGUGCAAGCGUUGUCCGGAAUCAUUGGGUGUAAAGGGUGCGUAGGCGGGAGCCUAAGUCUGUGGUGAAAUCUUGCCGCUUAACGGUAAAAUUGCCA
rnacentral:rRNA from 1 species